rnacentral:rRNA from 1 species
UGAGUACGAGAUGCUACGGCAUCGAAGCAGUCUAUGUCAUACUUCCAAGAAAAGCUUGCAAUGUCAUAAACAAAUAAUGCCUGUACCAUAACCGACACAGGUGGGUAGGUAGAGUAUACUAAGGGGCGCGAGAUAACUCUCUCUAAGGAACUCGGCAAAAUGACUCCGUAACUUCGGGAGAAGGAGUGCCUUAUUUUUAUAAGGUUGCAAUAACAAGAUCCAAGCAACUGUUUACCAAAAACACAGGUCUCCGCUAAGUCGUAAGACGAUGUAUGGGGGCUGACGCCUGCCCAGUGCCAGAAGGUUAAAGAAGUUGGUUAGCAUUAGCGAAGCUGAUAACUGAAGCCCUGGUGAACGGCGGCCGUAACGAUAACGGUCCUAAGGUAGCGAAAUUCCUUGUCGGGUAAGUUCCGACCCGCACGAAAGGCGUAAUGAUUUGGAUACUGUCUCGGAGAGGGGCUCGGUGAAAUAGACUUGUCUGUGAAGAUGCGGACUACCUGCACCUGGACAGAAAGACCCUAUGAAGCUUUACUGUAACUUGAGAUCGAAAUUGGACUUUAUCUGCGCAGUAUAGGUGGGAGACGUUGAAAAUAUUCUUGCGGGAAUAUUGGAGUCAUCAGUGAGAUACCACUCUUAUAAUGUUAGAUUUCUAACUUUGUAUCAUUAUCUGGUCAAAGAACAGUUUCAGGCGGGCAGUUUGACUGGGGCGGUCGCCUCCCAAACGGUAACGGAGGCGCACAAAGGUUUCCUCUGAACGUGUAGAAAUCGUAUCUAGAGUGUAAAGGCAUAAGGAAGCUUGACUGUGAGACCUACAAGUCGAGCAGGGACGAAAGUCGGUCUUAGUGAUCUGACGGUGCUGAGUGGAAAGGCCGUCACUCAACGGAUAAAAGUUACUCUAGGAUAACAGGCUGAUCUCCCCCAAGAGUUCACAACGACGGGGAGGUUUGGCACCUCGAUGUCGGCUCAUCGCAUCCUGGGGCGGUAGUACGUCCCAAGGGUUGGGCUGUUCGCCCAUGAAAGCGGUACGCGAGCUGGGUUCAGAACGUCGUGAGACAGUUCGGUCCAUAUCCGGUGUAGGCGUUAGAAUAUUGAGAGGAGCCUUCUUUAGUACGAGAGGACCGAGAAGGACAUACCUCUGGUGUACCAGUUAUCGUGCCAACGGUAAACGCUGGGUAGCCAUGUAUGGAGAGGAUAACCGCUGAAAGCAUCUAAGUGGGAAGCCCACCUCAAGAUAAG